GCUUCUUAGUCUUUUAGGGGGAAGAAAAAGCUAAACGGUAAAAAAGGAAUGAAAGGAAUAGAUUUCCUCAGUUAUGAUAGCUUUGUGCCUUCUUCUUUUUAUUUCAUUAAUGAGAUAAAGAUGCACCAGGCCAGAAAAGUCUCGAUCCACAGUUAGACCUUUCUUGCUAGUCUUCCUAAGCCGCAAGGGGGGUGGAGCUGCAAGUGAUGGGAGUACGAGCGACAACAGAGGAAUGGUCGAAGUAAUAACUAAUAUGAAUAGCUAAUAACUUAACUAAGAAUUAGUCAAACCUUACUUGCCGGUUUCAAAGCUAGCUAGCUAAUACUAGGAGAAAGACAAGGAAGUCAGCUACACCCCCUGUUGUUUUAAGUCCAAUGCUGUGAGGAAGCGGAGUUUCAUGAGAAAGACAAGCACCCUAAAGUGAGUCACUCCGGGCAAGUGGUGGAUUAGGAAACUGUUGUUGUGUGCUCGACCCAAGGAGAAACUAGUACUAAAUCAACAGUAAAAAGUCGACACAGGUUGUGCAUCGGUUAGAGUGAAUACUGACCCAAAAAAAGAAAAGGAUAUUCUUCUGGCUAGUAAAUAGGUAAUUGAAUAUUCUUCCCUAUCUCUACUUGGACACCAGGGUAGCUUUUCCUUAUCCUUUGGUUAAAGCAAGGAGGGAGCAAUAAGACCUUUCAUAGAGAGUAACACCUUCAUUGACCCCACGGUAUCAAAGCAAGGGUUAUUUCUUAGUGUGACUUCUUUCUAUUCUAGUAGGACUGACUGUGGUAAAUAGGGUUCAGUUCAUAUUCAGAAGGAGUAGAAGAAUU
rnacentral:lncRNA from 1 species